rnacentral:rRNA from 1 species
UACGGGGGGGGCAAGCGUUGUUCGGAAUUACUGGGCGUAAAGGGCUCGUAGGUGGCCAACUAAGUCAUACGUGAAAUCCCUCGGCUUAACCGGGGAACUGCGUCUGAUACUGGAUGGCUUGAGGUUGGGAGAGGGAUGCGGAAUUCCAGGUGUAGCGGUGAAAUGCGUAGAUAUCUGGAGGAACACCGGUGGCGAAGGCGGCAUCCUGGACCGACAUUGACGCUGAUGAGCGAAAGCUAGGGGAGCAGACGGG